rnacentral:lncRNA from 1 species
CUUUCAUAGAGAGAGGAUGUAUAUUUCUUUGCUGUCUUCGUAGUAAGAAAUAAAGCAUAGCGAUGUAGCCAUAAAUCUCAUCACUUCCCUGUGCUGGAAACUCUGCCGGAUGGGAAUGUGCCUGAGGCCUGAUCAAAGGCUCAAGUCGUUAAUCACAUCGGGAGGCGAUUCCGAAGGACUCGACCGGAGGAAAAUGAGCUUUAUCAGCUUGGCCGAGCGGAGAUCCCGACAAAUGGAAAAAUUCCUACCUGUCCCCCGUCCCAAGACAGGCAACCAACCUAAGUCCAAAGCCAGGCCAGAGGACACCUAAAUUAAAGGGCGGGUGUUCGGCAGUGUGAAGCAGGUGCCUGACACAUGCCGUGCUUCUGCUUUUAUACCCCCACCUCACGGUCACCCCACACAAAAGUGAUUGGCCAAAAGGCCUGGGUGAACAUGGUGCCACCCUGAUGUGAAGGUAUUACUCCACCCAUGCCAGGUGGGGGGGGGAGUGGGUUGAGGGCCUUCCCGCAACCAGGACCAUCUUUUAAGAUGAUCCCAUUUGUCCCAAUCCUCCCUUAUCCACACAUUUAGUGUAUGCAAGGAGAAUGUCUCAAGAAUUUCCCACUGUUUGCAAGAACUUCGCUUCAGUCUUUAGAGGCAUAUGUCUCUUUGAGGCUCUCUAAACAGCUUAUGCUUAUUUUAAAAUAUUUUUAAAGAGUCUGAACUGCAUUAUAAAAGACUACAACUUUGGAAAUAAAUCUGUCUUUUAUAGCUUCCUUCUAAGGCAGGCAGGCAGGCAAGGCAGAGGGUCAAAUAUAUUUAUUCCCUUUGAAUAUGUGUUGGGUUUUUUUAUUAAAAAAAACUUCAGUAAGUGAUUUUAUGGACUGACAGGGUAAAACUUUGUGAUUCGUUUUAUUUAAUCAGACCUCCACAACUUGUGACCUGUGGAGUUGAGUGCAGCCCACCAGCCAUCUAUUAUGGUCUGUCAAGUGCUUGACAGUCCUUCCCCCUUUAGCAAUGCCAGGCAAGCAACAACAGCAACAAAAACCCGGAAGAUUUACAGAGCCCUUGGAGUGUCAUUAUAAAUGGCUGGUGGGUUGCAUUUAGUUUGAUUCAGGCCUUUUUAAAGGUACUGUGAUGGGGUUGGGGAUGUCAUCUUUGAGCUCCAAGCCUGUGGUGUGAUAUCCGUAAGAUAAUAUUCUGGAGAAAGAGAUGGGUAAGUGGUCAAACUAGACUUCCUUUAUUUUUUUAAGAUGAUGACUCUAGCCAUGUCUGUUUAGUCUCUCUUUGCAUGACUAAAGAGUAAAGGUGACUGGUUGCCACAGAAACGAACAAGGAACAGUUUUUCAGUUUGAAUUUGGACAGAAAGAGAAGGCUGAAUUUUCCUGCUUGCUGGCAUGAAGCAGAUUUGGGGGAAGCUAUAAGGAGAUGCUGCAACUCUGGGGGAAUCCAAAACUCUCUAGCACUCAUCUGUUUCCCUUUGCUAAAUCUGUAUUUUUUAUAAGCAACAUGCUAAGGUAAAGGUAAAGGGACCCCUGACCAUUAAGUCCAGUUGUGGGGUUGCGGUGCUCAUAUCACUUUAGUGGCUGAGGGUGCUGACAUUUGUCCUCAGACAGCUUCCGGGUCAUGUGGCCAGCAUGACUAAGCUGCUUCUGGCGAACCAGAGCAGCACACGGAAACGCUGUUUACCUUCCCACCAGAGUGGUACCUAUUUAACGUGCUUUCAAACUGCUAGGUUGGCAGGAGCAGGGACCGAGCAAUGGGAGCUCACCCCGUUGUGGGUAUUCGAACCGCCGACCUUCUGAUCGGCAAGCCCUAGGCUCUGUGGUUUAGACCACAGUGCCACCAACAUGCUACUCCAAAUCAAUUUAUACUAUAAAUCUCCAGUCCUCUCUCCACACAAGCAGACUCCUAAUGAAUCAAUUGGCUCAUGUAAUCUGUAAUUGCUUCAGGAAGAGAGAAGCAUUGGCACUACUUAUAGGAAGGGAUGGAUUGAUCCUGUGUGACGCGUUUCAGGCACAUGCCUGAGGCCGGUAUGCUUGGUUCCCAAAUUUAGGUUCACAGCUCAUAGCUAUGCAUGGAAAAAAAGCACACAUCUAGGAAAUGGCCCCUGCAAGACGUUCACUGAGCCUGUCACUGAGAUGCAUCAAAGCACAUAACUUGUGGAUUUUGCAGAGAUAAUCAUAGCUGCACAGAAUGGUGAGCAAUAUCCUUGUCAUCAGGGGCUAUGGAGAGGGAGAGUUCCAGAUCUCAUGAAGCUUAGCACUGCAGUGCCAGCCCCAACCCAAAUUAUUAUUUUUUAGGUGGUGGUUUCUGUAAUGCUCAUAAUACACUCAGUUUGACUGGCACAGUUAAUCUGUAUAAAAGGAAUUGUUUGAGAUGCCUGCUUUGUCCAGUAUUUCUAUUUCCUUUAAUAUGAUAUGGGUAGACAGAUCCUGAAGCUGAGGCUCCAAUACUUUGGCCACCUCAUGAGAAGAGAAGAGUCCCUGGAAAAUCUUUCCUGAUGCUGGGAAAGAUUGAGGGCACAAAGGGUGAGAUGGCUGGACAGUGUUCUCGAAGCUACUAACAUGAGUUUGACCAAACUGUGGGAGGCAGUGGAAGACAGGAGUGCCUGGCGUGCUCUGGUUCAUGGGGUCACAAAGAGUCGGACAUGACUAAACAACAACAAGAAUUAUUUAGCCAGUCACCUAACUGUGUUGCAGGCUGCAGCAGAACUAUGGGAGAGGUGGAACCCUUUUAGAAUUUAUCUGUGUUCUAGGAUGUCGUGUCCUGCUUAGUAGAGAAAAUUAGAUCUUCAUCUAAGAAAAGUAAUUCCCCCGCUUACAGCUAAGACAACUUGCUUGCUUUGUAAAUUGAGAGGUAAUGGCCCCCAACACUCUUUAACAACCUGAGAGUCAAAAUUAUUCUUUUAACAAUCACUUGGCUCCUUUGAUAAUUUUUCUCUGUGUUUGUCUGCACCAAAGUGAAAGAUGUCAAAUCUGGUAUGAUGUAAAAAUCUAUGGGGCAGGUCCUUAGAGUAGAUCUUUAUAAAUAACUCUACGGAAACUUUGUAGAGGCUGGUCCAUUAGGAUAAAUGGGGCACUUGCCCCACCAGCCUGAGCCUGUCCUCAUGUUAUGCUAGAUAUAAAUUUCACGAUAGGUAUAAAUAAUUUGAUGAGUCUUGAAAUCAGUGGGAGGCACACUUUCAAGUUGCUGACAAGUUUUUGUGAGGUACUACGUCCUACUUAGGAUAAGUAUCUGAGGAAAACCAAUGUUUCCAGGCAGUAUGCUGAUAAUCAGCAGCUGUGCACAAGCAUUUUGUUUUCAGAGCUAUAACUAAUCUUUAUAGAGUAAAUCUUUCUGCAUAAAACAAAUAGGUGACUGAAAAGUUGCCUUAUCCUGUUGGUCGUUUCCUCCAGUGCUUUCAAUAAAACUCUGAUAAGGAUGUGGAGGACGUUUCUAUUAUUUAUUUCUCACUUCUAUCUGUCUUUAAAUCUUGCUUUUCUAUUCCAUACUAAAAUACAGGCUGCUUUGUAUCACUGGUAUUCUUAGAAAAUUUGGAGGAAGCAAAACAGCCAGCUGCCCAGGAGAAAGACAGAACUUUGAAGAGAGAACUGAAAUAGAUUUCCUACUUUAGCUGACUCCCCAAAAGAAGGAUUCUGCAUGGACUGAGAACUGUGAAACUUAUAUAAAUUGGCCAGCCCAUGACAACUGGGUCUUCUGAUGCCUCUUUGUUCCAUAUUCUGUCUUUCUCUAUUGUUCAAUCUACU